AAAAAAAAAAUCCCCUAUACCCAUUGUUUUGAGUGAGGAUAGUUCUGAAAAAACUUCCAUCUAGAGCGAAAAAAACAGAUGGAAGAGAGAUAAAUGUAGAUAAUUAAAUCCCACUGAAAGGGGAAAAUAGUCACAACAAUCUAUUGGUUAUAAUCAAGAUUGCAGAAAUAUAGAUUUAUAGAAACAUGGAGAAUGACACUUUUUCAUUAAGACCUUUAGGCCACACUGUGUCUAAUGUCCUAAUCCAGUUUUUUCCGAUCACCACCCCAUAGCAGAGGAGGUACAUGAUCAAUAGCUGUGAAUUUGAGAGUCGGGAGUUGGUGUCCCAUUGCCAAAAAAUGUUUGGCUACUGGCAGUUCUGCUUUUUUGUCCCUGUAUGCCACUAAUAUUAGAACGAUGGUUCCUAAUUCUCUCUCUGAGAGGUAGGUCUGUUUUCCCUAUGUAGGAUAAUCCACAUGGGCACUGUAGUUUGUAUAUGACAAAAUCAGUCGUACAUGUCAGUCUGUGACGUAU